UACGUAGGGUGCGAGCGUUGUCCGGAAUUACUGGGCGUAAAGAGCUCGUAGGUGGUUUGUCGCGUUGUUCGUGAAAACUCACAGCUCAACUGUGGGCGUGCGGGCGAUACGGGCAGACUGGAGUACUGCAGGGGAGACUGGAAUUCCUGGUGUAGCGGUGGAAUGCGCAGAUAUCAGGAGGAACACCGGUGGCGAAAGCGGCGAGCUGGAUCACUACUGACGCUGAAGAACGAAAGCUAGGGGAGCAAACAGG
rnacentral:rRNA from 1 species